rnacentral:rRNA from 1 species
AGUUUGAUCCUGGCUCAGAACGAACGCUGGCGGCGUGGAUAAGACAUGCAAGUCGAACGGGACAACAUUUGUAGCAAUACAGAUGUUGUUUAGUGGCGAACGGGUGCGUAACACGUGGGCAAUCUGCCGAGAAGUGGGGGAUAGCUCGCCGAAAGGCGAAUUAAUACCGCAUAUGAUCAGGGACGACAUCUUCCCAACAUCAAAGCCGGGGUAACCUGGCGCUUCUUGAUGAGCCCGCGGCCUAUCAGCUAGUUGGUGAGGUAACGGCUCACCAAGGCUAUGACGGGUAGCUGGUCUGAGAGGACGACCAGUCACACUGGAACUGAGACACGGUCCAGACACCUACGGGUGGCAGCAGUCGAGAAUUUUUUCACAAUGGGGGCAACCCUGAUGGAGCGACGCCGCGUGGAGGAUGAAGGCUUUCGGGUUGUAAACUCCUGUCAUUUGAGAACAAGUGUAGCUAGGUAACUACUGGCUACUUGAUAGUAUCAGAAGAGGAAGAGACGGCUAACUCUGUGCCAGCAGCCGCGGUAAUACAGAGGUCUCAAGCGUUGUUCGGAUUCAUUGGGCGUAAAGGGUGCGUAGGUGGCGGGGGUAAGUCAGGUGUGAAAUUUCGGAGCUUAACUCCGAAACUGCAUUUGAUACUGCCUUGCUUGAGGACUGGAGAGGAGACUGGAAUUCACGGUGUAGCAGUGAAAUGCGUAGAGAUCGUGAGGAAGACCAGUGGCGAAGGCGGGUCUCUGGACAGUUCCUGACACUGAGGCACGAAGGCCAGGGGAGCAAACGGGAUUAGAUACCCCGGUAGUCCUGGCAGUAAACGGUGCACGUUUGGUGUGGGGGGAUUCGACCCCUUCCGCGCCGGAGCUAACGCGUUAAACGUGCCGCCUGGGGAGUACGGUCGCAAGAUUAAAACUCAAAGAAAUUGACGGGGGCCCGCACAAGCGGUGGAGUAUGUGGCUUAAUUCGAUGCAACGCGAAGAACCUUACCAGGCCUUGACAUGCAUUUCUAAGUUGGUGAAAGCCAGCGAAUGUCGAAAGACAUAACUUGCACAGGUGCUGCAUGGCUGUCGUCAGCUCGUG